rnacentral:lncRNA from 1 species
GAGGCUGGUCAUGGCCCUCCUGGUGGGAGAUGCCGUAGGGUCCGUGACCUUCUCGGUGGGAGAUGCUAUAGGGUUCAUGACCUGUGGAGAUGACGUAGGAUGUCUCCUGCCUCAGAACCUCCCCAAAGCCUCAUGAUGGCCCUGUGCAAAGGAAAAGGGAGUUAAUUCUACUCCCUCUAAUUUCCAGACUUUAUGGAGAGAAGCCAGGACUUCCAUUCCAAAGGAACCUUAGCUUCAGAUUAGGCCUCAGAGGUGGCAGGAUAUGGAAACAAUGGGACAGGCAAGUUUGGGGCUGAAUUUAAUCAUGGUGGCAGGGUGAGAUUCUAUUUAUUCAUUCACCCAUCACUCCUUCUGGGAAUAUUUACUGUGUGUCCUCCGUGCUGGACACUGUGCCCUCAGGACCCAGCCUUCCAGUGAGCAGAAAGCAAACAGCAGACGCUCAGGCAGCCCCGCAUGGGGAACCUGGGCCUGGAAAGUGCUGGAAGGGAAAGAUUUCAGGAAGCAGAAGGAUAUGGCAGCAUCCACACCACAUGCUGGGCAGAGGCUGGCUAGGGACCCGCCCUGGGAGUGGAUGGACUUGGAUCCUGGGCCCCUCCGCUGAGACCCUCAGGACUUCUGGAUGGGAAAACAGAACAGCACAGGGCUGCUGCAGUGACCUAGGGAGAGGAGCUGAGCCAAGCCACCCUCACACACCCAAGGACCUGCCCCUGGGCCACACCCCAGACAAAGCCCUGGGCUUAGGGUCUGGAGC